rfam:Stegodyphus mimosarum contig5927, whole genome shotgun sequence.
GAAUUUUUGAUUAACAAACUCAACGAUUUCGUCAUCUGGAAG